UAAGUCUUGGUAAUGCUAAAGCCUUAGACCUUAUGAAGUAAGGAUGGUCGGUCAGUUCAAUGUCAACAUAAAUCAACUAUCUUUUAUGGAUAAAAUAAAAAGGGGAGAAAAUAAAAUAGAAAUAAUGUUAGUUUUAAUAAGGAGAUUAAGUAAAGCCAUGCUCAUGUAAAUUUAAUUUAUAGAUCAUGUAGCAAGUAAGUUGUCUAAUAAAUUCAAAUAAAUUAUAAGAUAACAUGUAGACAAAUACAUCAAGCAACAAUAACGCGUUCCUAAUAUGUGAAUGACUCCUUUAUGCCGGAGGUAGGCCUAAGUGUUAAAUAUUAAUCCAGAUUUCGAUAAAUUGAUCCAAGCUUUGAUUAAUGAUAUUACUCGAGUUUGGAGAUAGAAUUUUUCAAACUCAAUUUUGGUAAAAUUUUGACUUGGAUCAAUUUAUCAUCACCUCUGCACAUAAUAUGAGGGUUGUCAUUGGGUUGUGAAACCCAUUUGACAUAAAAAGUUCUCUCCGAUUUGUGGAAUGACACCAUGGGUCAAGCCACCUAACGUUUAUGCAUGCAUGGCCUAAAUCAAGGGUGGUAACAUUCUAUCUUAAGUUUUCUAAGAUUUGGGUAGACGCGGACUUGGAUUUUCUAUAUGAGAAGGCACGUGGUCGUACGACAGUAAAACUCCCGCUUACCCCACGUAUGCGCUGACUCUCUAAAGUAAGGUGAUUAGAAAGAAUUUUGGGAAAGUACAAUGUACAAUCCGCGUGUAUAAUGUGUGUGAGUGUCAGUUUUCCAAAGCGGAGGAAAGAUGAACGGAAUGUCAACUUAUAUAAGCAAUAAACAAAUAAGCAAUUUAUAGCAAAUAAAUAAUUUAUGUCACACAAACAUGAUAAAUCAUGACAAUUAUGGUGAAACAAAUAACAAUAUAUAAAAAAUUAAAUAUUAACUCAAGUUUGUUAUAGUUAAGAAUCUAAUAAUCCUCAGUGAAGUCUCCAAGCUAGUCGUACCCCAUUUUAACAUGGGUCAAAUUAAGGUACAACAUAUUGAAAAACUUCUAAAUAAAUUAAGGAAGUCGCCACCUAAUUAGUUCUACGGUGAAUUAGGACACAUAUUUUAAACUAAGUGAUUUAUAGCAAAUAAAGACUUCAUUUUAAUGUCUAUUCAACUUAAAUAAUUCUAAGUAAGGAUUCUAAUUAUCCUAAAGGGAAGGAAUUAGGCAUCCUAAAGGAUCUGCUAACUAAGGUUAACCCAUCAAACAUAGGUUAGAUAAGAAAACCAAAUGUUAAAUAAAGAAAAAAUAUAGGCUAUAUAUAUAUAUAUAUAUAUGGGGAGGGUGAGUGUGUAUCUUAUUUAGAAUAACAUAUGCAAAUCAUUCUUGAGAAAAGAUUAGAAAGAACUUAGAAAUAUUAAGAAUCAAUUUAUUUGCAAAAAUUACCAAAUGCGACUUUUAUAGUCCUCGAGAAAAUGAUGUAAACAUUACUAUUAUCAAAAGAAAGUUAUUCUGAAUCCUCUCUUUUACGAGUUAUACAAAAGCAUUCAAUUAAUAAUUAAAACAGUUAGUUAUGUUAAGAAAUUCAUGUUUUUCUUUAUUCUAAGAAAAAAUGACUCUUUUGCUUCUUCUUUUUUCAAAUUUAAUAAAAAAGAGGGUUAAUUAUUCUGCACUAAAUGAAUUAUUUAAAAUAGUAAAAAAGUAAAUGCGUUAAACACAUAAUGCCUUGAGAAUUUAUUUAUAAUUAUUAAAAAUAAUAUUUUCCGUCAUUUGAAUUCUUAAGAAAAAGUCUCAUGGAAUCAAAUUGGCAAAAUUACAAUUUUUAUUUGGAGUUGAUGAAAAAAAAAGGAUUACCAUAUCAAAAAUAAUUAAAGUCAAUUUCUGAGUCUAACGAUGAUAAAUUCACCUACCGCAAAACCUAAAUUUUAUUAACUAUUUCGAUAUUACUAUCUAGUGAGGAACUAAUUUUGGCUCUGAAAGUAAAUCCAUUUAUUAUAAAAGACAUGUUUUUACCUUCCAAAUUUUAACCUUAGCAAUACAAAAUAAAUACCAAAGCCUAAUGAUUUUGCUAAAGUUUAAAAUUCAACGAGCAGAAAGGGAAUAAUUAAAUUUGCUAUCUAUUUAAAGAAAUUAAACAAUUUCAAACAAACAUAAUACCAAAUAAAAAUGAGAAAUAUUUAAAGGGAUAACAACAUGUGCAAUAAUACAAAGAAAAACAAAAGAUUAGGAAGGGAAAGGGGCACUAGACUGAGGAAGACACAUAACGCAUCUAUUGUUCGCUUCUCUAAUUAGGACAGAGAUAGAGUCAAACCAUGAUACCCUAAACACGCUUCCAAGUGUACAUGUAAAAUAAAGGGAAAUAUAAAGAUUAGGAAUUUAUUAAAAAUAACUCCUCUUGAGAAUGUAGGUUAAAAAAGAACAUAUUCAAAUUGAAACAAAACAAGGACGUACAGAUAUUACAACAUACAACUUUUGUCAGAAACCAAAUUAUUCAUCCCUUAAUUUCGAGCAAGCUUGACUAAAUAAGAUUUUGUGACAAGAAAAAUCCUUUCUACAAUGUGGUAUUAGUGUGUUCAAACCAACGCCUUAGACUACUUAACAAUCAUUGAUUUAUAUUUCUCACCUGACAUAUUUUCAGUCAAAGCAAAUUUAUCAUUUAGAGACACCAGAUGUGAAUACAAAUGAAUCACACGCAUAAGGAAACUUUGGAUAAUUAGUUAACCACAAUAGUUAUGUUAACAAAUACUAAUGCCCAUAGGAAUUACUACCACUUAGUUUGGCAACUAUUAAACCAUUAUUAUUAUUAUUUAUUACCGAAGGAAAUCACGUAACACACAUAGCUGCACACACGAUAUGCCUACACUUAGAAUAUAGAGGUACAGUCCUAUGAGAAAACAAACAGCCCAUAUACUAACUUAGGGAGUAAAACAUGGCUAUACAUGAGAACCUAAGAAUGUCAGCAAGAAAGAUGGCAAAUUUCAAGCUUAAAAUUUCAAACUUUAUGAAAAUUUUACUCAAAUUGAGUCACUAGCCGUGAAACUUAUAACAAGAAAUUUUAACACCAAACAAAGAGAGGCUAUUUUAACCUCGGGUUUGUGUUUGUAACUAGUUAAGCGAAAGAUCCAACUCCAUAAUGCUGGGUUACUGGAACAAACAACAAUAACAAUAACAACAACAGCAUACCUAGUAUAUUCCCACCAAUUAGGAUCUGGGGAGGGUAAGUGUACACAGUCUAUACCACAACCUCAAAUGUGAGAUAGAGAGGCUGUUUGGAUAUACCCCCGGCUCAGAAUAAAACAGUCUACGAUAAAGAAUAGGGAUAUUAGGAAUAGUAAAAGAACAAGAUACAAGAUAGGGUAUAGUAAUAGUAGGAACAAGAAAAGAACAAGAUACAAUAGAAAUUAUCAUAUCCAAUACUACCAUAAGCAAGAUACUCAAGAAACACACUAAAAGAUACAAUAUCCUAAACUCAGACUAAUCUUCUACCCUACUCCGCCUCCUCCACAACUUCCUAUCCAGGAUCAUGUCCUCGGUAACCUGAAGCUGCUCCAUAUGAUAUCUACUCACCUCCCCGAAAUAUUUCUUCGGUCUACCUCUACCUCACCUGAAACCAUCCCUAGCCAACCUCUCACACCUCCGCACUGGAGCAUCAGUGCUCCUCCUCCUCACAUGACUGACCCAUCUCAACCUCGUUUCCCUCAUCUUACUUUCCACAGAAGCCACACCCACCUUAUCUCGAAUAACCUCAUUUCUAAUCUUAUAUUCCUAGUACACCCAUACAUCCACCUAAGCAUUCUCAUUUUCUCCACCUUCUUUUUCUAGAUGUGGGCCUUCUUAACAGGCCAAUACUCUGCCCCACACAACAAAGACGGUGUAACCACCGCUCCGUAGAACUUGCUUUAAAGUUUGAGAGGUACCUUUUUGUCGCACAAUAUUCCAAAGGCAAGCCUCCAUUUCAUCCACCCUACCCUAAUCCGAUGAGUGACAUCUUCGUCAAUCUCUCCAUUUUCCUGAAUCAUAGACCCCAGAUACUUGAAACUAUCUUUUUUACUGAUAGAUAAGUGCCAAGCUUAACUAUCACAUCAGACUCAUGAGACACCUCGCUAAACUUACAUUCCAAAUACUCUAUCUUAGACCUACUCAAUCUAAACCCUUUAGACUCUAGAUCCUAACUCAUUAACAUAAACAACAAAUUAAUAUGCUAAUACACGUCCACAAAAGGGGUACCGCCGCGAAAUUUAGAGUAGAGUUCAGAUAAUUGUCCAAAAAAAUGCAGACUUGGGGGAAAAAAUUUGAAACGUAACCAAGACUAAUCUCAGUCACAUAAGCAGUACAAUCUAUACUGGAACUUAUAUUUGGAGUUCAAGCUUCAAAGUAAUCACAAAGAACCCCGAACAAAGACCAUGGACCAAGAAAAUUGCAUACUUCUUCUUGUCCCACAAACAUGAUAGCAUUAACCCAAGAAAACACAAGUACAGAACUAUGACUACAGAACAUGAACAUUAGUCGGAACAUGAACAUGAACAUGAACAUUAGACAAGUACAGAACUGCAACUACGAAACAAACCAUACAGUGAAACCAAAGAAACUUAAGAUGAUUCUAUAUUUGAUUCACGGGUAAUCAACAACAAUACGAAGAUGGGACAAGCAACAUUCAUACGUAUACACAAAAAACAUAUUCAGAUACAAGACCGUUUUUUCUAGAGUCUAUGUCAACAACUCAAAUUUUGGUCAACAUUAUCCCGAAAAAUAGCAUGUUCACAAAACCUAAACGGGAGGAAAGAAAGGAUGAUGAAGGCGAGGCGGAAGAGCCAAUGCAAAUUCGCUUGUUUAGAUGCUAAGCAACUGUAUAUUGAAACAAUGGAUAGUCAAGGCAAAAUCGUGUUCUUGAACUAAAUUCUCCAAAAAUCAGAUAGCAACAUCAGUAUAGUUAAAACUAUACAAAUCAUGUAUCCAUAAAGCAAGAACAAACAGUGUAAAAAGAGACAGAGACGAGAUAAAGCGGUGGAUUUACAUAAUAGAUCAAUGUGCCCUACAUUUUCAACUAGACAUAACCUCUCCAAGCCAUAUUGUUAACCCGAAUUCACAUAUUAUUACACAUUUAAAGACAAAAUGGCCCCACACAGUGACCAACUUGAGUGAAUUAGAAAGCCAAAAUAUAGAUUUUUUAUUUCAAGUUUUCGUGCUCAAAACCGCCAGUUAAUAGUCAGACGAGAGCACAACAAAUAAUUUUGUUCCGAGUUUGCAUUCAUAACCAACCAACAAAAUGACCAACUCUAGUUCGUUUUAUAUUUAUGCUUAUAAUUAGCCAAACGACAAAACAAACUCCAUCGAUAAGAAAAUUGUAAAAACUUAAGACAUAAUGUAAUUAGACAGGAUAGGAUUUACCUUGUGUGGGGAAGCAAAAUGAGGCUUUCUCAUUGGAGAUUCAAACUUGUAUUUUGAACGCGAAUGAUGAAAAGCAACGAGAGUAAAAAAAGUGUAAUCAGAAACUAUAAAAUAGAGAAAACUUAAUGAGUGAAAAGAGUAUGGCAGGCUCAAGAAAUUCCCCAACUUUUUUC
rnacentral:lncRNA from 1 species